UGACUGAAGGGAUAGCUCAGUUUGUAGAGCAUGUGAUUCUAAAUUCCAGGGUUCUGGGUUUGAGGCCCACGUUGGGCAA